rnacentral:lncRNA from 1 species
AUGCUCUUCUCUCCUUGUUUGCUGGAGGAAGAGGGGAGAAGGAGGUCUAACCUGAUCAGAGUUCCACCCAGGAAAGGCAUCAGAAACCACAGUUUUGAUCCUGAAGUAGAACAGUCUUGGGCAGGGAGCCACAUGACACUAUUUGUCUUGCUUUUCUUUCCCUGUCCAUCCUUCACCUUCUCCUUUCUCAUUGUGUUUUCCUAGUGGAUUUAACCUUCUGGGUUGUUCUCUAGGCACCCUCGUCUCUUAUUCCUUCCACCCCCAACAUCCCCACUGUGUGACAGUCCCCUCCUCCCUCGCGAUCCGUCGUGGAUGUUUGUGCCUUUCCUGCCUUUGGCCACAGCUUGUGGCAGCUGUUGGGGAGACCCUGCUAAUGCAGUGAAAUAAAGUCAGAAAGCUGGAUUAACUCGAGUGGCUUUCUUUCACAUUUAGGACUGCNNNNNNNNNNNNNNNNNNNNNNNNNNNNNNNNNNUUUAGUGUGGAAAAUCAAAUCAUCUUAUACAAACACAAAUGAGUCCAGACCGUUAUUAUCCUAAUGUAAUUGGACAAUGAACUCUGAUUACAGGUGUCAGUUCCUGCCUUUCUUAAGGUAGCGUAGCUAUUCUAGCGAUUGCCAGACUGACGCUCUUUGUAAGGUGUGCAGUUUAUCAUCAGUGUGCUGCAUUUCUUAUGUUUGGCUUCUCUGGACCCAAGACUUGUUGAGUAAGAGGUAUGAGAGCUCUGCCGUACUGGCUUUGUAGGUGUUUCCAGAAAUUUUCUGCAAUGAAAUGUGAUAGAGUGACAAUUGGGGUUGGGGAUCAAGCUGGUCAUCAAACAAAGUUACCCCAGGCAAAGUCUGCUUACGCGUCACUUCGCUCCUGAGAAGGGAUGCACAUUCAGGAAGGAAAUACUUAGGUUGAGAUNNNNNNNNNNNNNNNNNNNNNNNNNNGCUUGUCAGUAGGAAAUAAUUUACUGACUGGCUCAGGUAAAGAUGCCCAUCUAUUCUGGAAAAUGUCAUUGCUCUCUCUAUAUUAAAUAACAUAUGAUUAAAAUCAUAUUUGUGGAGAUUUAAUCACCAUGCAAUCAGUGUCUUCUGUGAGUGGCUGCCUACUUGGUGACAAGGAUCCACUGCCCUACUGAACUGAACUGAAGUCCUCUGUCUUAAUUACUCUAGGAGGAUAGUUAAUUUGAUGGGGCUGGGUUUUAUAGACCUGCCAAGGGCAGAUUUUGUGUGUACACAGCCGAGCACACUUCUGUGCGAGGGGCAGAGAUCACUGCUCUGCCCAGUCUUGCCUUUGCUCACCUGUGCCCUCCUCAUGGAAAACCCACUCUCCUUCACCCUCCCUUCUAGACUG